rnacentral:misc_RNA from 1 species
GUGAGUCAUCGAAUCUUUGAACGCAUAUUGCGCCCGCCAGUACUCUGGCGGGCAUGCCUGUUCGAGCGUCAUUUCACCACUCAGGCCCGAGCCGCCUGGCGUUGGGGCGCUGCGGCCCGUCCCGCAGGCCCUCAAAUCUAGCGGCGGACCCCGCCCGGCCCUGAGCGUAGUAACAAGAGCCUCGCUCCGGCGGUCGUGGCGCGGUCCUGCCCUAGCCCACACUCAAACGGCGUUGCAAAGCGCCGUCCUAGUUGACCUCGGAUCAGGUAGGACUACCCGCUGAACUUAAGCAUAUCAAUAAGCGGAGGA